AUGGGAACGCGAAGAACCUUACCUAGACUUGACAUCUUCUGCAUUAAUCGUAAUGGAUGAAAUCCCUUCGGGGACAGAAUGACAGGUGGUGCAUGGUUGUCGUCAGCUCGUGUCGUGAGAUGUUGGGUUAAGUCCCGCAACGAGCGCAACCCCUAUUAUUAGUUGCUAACAUUAAGUUGAGCACUCUAGUGAGACUGCCCGGGUUAACCGGGAGGAAGGUGGGGAUGACGUCAAAUCAUCAUGCCCCUUAUGUCUAGGGCUACACACGUGCUACAAUGGUGGGAACAAAGAGAUGCAAUACCGCAAGGUGGAGCUAAACUCAAAACCCCAUCCCAGUUCGGAUUGUAGGCUGAAACUCGCCUACAUGAAGCUGGAGUUGCUAGUAAUCGCGAAUCAGAAUGUCGCGGUGAAUACGUUCCCGGGUCUUGUACACACCG
rnacentral:rRNA from 1 species